UACGGGGGGGGGCAAGCGUUGUUCGGAAUUACUGGGCGUAAAGGGCUCGUAGGCGGCCAACUAAGUCGGAUGUGAAAUCCCCAAGCUUAACUUGGGAACUGCAUCCGAUACUGGAUGGCUUGAAUCCGGGAGAGGGAUGCAGAAUUCCAGGUGUAGCGGUGAAAUGCGUAGAUAUCUGGAGGAAUACCGGUGGCGAAGGCGGCAUCCUGGACCGGCAUUGACGCUGAGGAGCGAAAGCUAGGGGAGCAAACGGG
rnacentral:rRNA from 1 species